GGGAAGCAGGGGAAACAGAAGAGGAAAGAGUGGUCCAAAAAUUAUCAUGUUACCGCACAGAAGUAUCCUCAUGACCUUCCCUCUCUACAACUGCUGCUAGUUCCUACAUCCAAGUGGCCAUGUGAGACUGAAUAUUAGAUGCCAAGUGCACACAUGUGUUAGUGGAGUUAACAGGGAUUGUUGGAGAAACAAACGACAAGAUGCCCAUUGAGUACACAUGGCAGUAUGCAUGGCUCAUGGGACAUCAAUCAAAAUGUCUUAUGGAUCACCCUAAUGACCUCAUCAUAACUCGAUCAUCUGCAAGGACCUUAUUACCAAAUAAGGUUACAUUCAUAAGUACUUGGGAUUAGAACGUCAACAUCUUUUGAGGAGACACAAUUCAACACAUGAAAAACAACUAGUAAAAAACAUAAUGGAAAGGGGUGUACAUCAAUGCCAAUAUAUUAUUUAAACCAUGGAAUGUUAGGAGCUUUCUCACACACAUAUCCUAAAUAAUACGGAGUUACCACUAUCAUCUCCAGUUUACUAAUGUAAACCCUGGGGUUUUGGCAAAUGAAAUAGCCUGCUCAAAGUCCCACAUCUAGUAGAGGGUUCAUGUUUUUUGUGAUUUCAGAACACACAUUUCAAUCAUUACAUUGCAUUCUUUAGCCUCACCAAGAUUAUGUGCAGAUAUCUCAAGGUCACAGCCCUGGCUACGGCUGUGCAGGGGUUUAGAUCCUCAAGCCAGAGAUCUUUUCACAAUAGCAGUUGGCCUCCUCUGUCUCUCUCAGUUUGCAGAGACCUGUAACAAUAGAUGUCCGUAGGGAACACUUGCUUAAUGAAGUUGAUUAAUUUUUCAAAGGAGGUGACAGUCACCAUGCAUAUAAUUCACUUAGACUUCUAGUAGACUUUUGAUACAAUGCACGUCAAAGGUUAAUCCAUAAGGUUAAUGUAGAGGGAAUUGGUGGAGAAAUAGUCAAUUGGAUAAACAUUUUACAAUGGGUUUAGUAAUAGAGGGCAAAAGGUCUUAUGGAAAGUGGCCUUGGCUCAGGUCAAAAAGAUUAAUCAAUGCCAAGCUUAAUCUACCUCAUGCGUCAGUUACCUAGGAAUGUUAAAAAUCUGCUCUGUUCUGGAAAAAAAAAAUUUUGUUGGUGACAAACAACAGACCAAAGAAAUCUCAGAAAAUCACAUGGAAGUUGGAUCAUUAAGAAAAAGCAGGACAAUUAGCAAUUAAUCUGUAGUUAAUUGACAGAUAUUUAUUCAUACAACAAACACACAUCUCAGUUUGCCUGUGAUAGUACUAGUUUAUGGAAGUUGCUCUGACGUAAUUAUAAUUAGAAACCCCUUUAACCCUGAUUUUAACAAUAAAUUACAUAGUCACCCUAUUUGUUGAGCAUUCUCUCUGCACCAGAAAUGGUGUAAAAUAUUUGCUGAGGCUUUGAAAAUGAAAAAACAUAUAUUAUUUGUCAGUAACCAUAGCAUACUGUCAUACAAUGAGCUAGAAAUCAAGAGACUGGACACUUUAUUAUUGGAUAUAUCUCGUCACCUCUCCUGGUGACAGGUUUGUCCUUUAUCAAAUGAAUGGGUGGAAUUAAAUCAUAACUAAAGCCCUACUGCUAUCUUUUCAUGACAUUCUACAUCUUCUCUGUUCCCCUCAAAUGCCUUACACAUUGUCAGUCUGAGAUUUUUUCAUGCUAACAACCUUUCUUCUUUUCCCCAUUCAAAUUAUGUGCUCUUGGAGUUGGUACUUACAUUCCAUUUCAUCCAUGAAAACUUUCCUUUCUUCAGUAUCUUCUUUGAAGUCGAAGUGUAUUCAGAAAUGUAUCUCACAUUCUUUACUUGAGGUACCAGGAAUGAGCCGCAGCCAAAAGAUUUGAGCUCUAAUUACCCUUAAUCUCUAAUCUUUGAGUGAAUUAAUGAAUUUUUCUGGGGAAAAGGCUUACCACCCAGCCCAAGGAUGAGAAUAUUGUUUAAAUAAAAACAACUAACUAAAAUUAUCAAGUUCUUAUAUGAAAAACUCUUGCUGCACAUAUUACAGAUAUCUUCUUUGUUCUUACAAUAAAGCCUAUGAUAUACAGGGUAGUUUGAAUCCUUUUUUUAACAUACUAGAAAACUGAGGCUCAAAGGUAUUCCAUAAUGUAAUCAAGAUUUCUUAAUUAUUAAUAAGUACAAAACCAGAUUUUAAAUAGGAG
rnacentral:lncRNA from 1 species